CCUACGGGAGGCAGCAGUGGGGAAUAUUGCACAAUGGGGGAAACCCUGAUGCAGCGACGCCGCGUGAGUGAAGAAGUAUUUCGGUAUGUAAAGCUCUAUCAGCAGGGAAGAAAUAAAGUCCUUCGGACUUUGGACGGUACCUGACUAAGAAGCCCCGGCUAACUACGUGCCAGUAGCCGCGGUAAUACGUAGGGGGCAAGCGUUAUCCGGAUUUACUGGGUGUAAAGGGAGCGUAGACGGCAGCGCAAGUCUGGAGUGAAAUCCCAUGGCUUAACCAUGGAACUGCUUUGGAAACUGUGCAGCUGGAGUGCAGUAGAGGUAAGCGGAAUUCCUAGUGUAGCGGUGGAAUGCGUAGAUAUUAGGAGGAACACCAGUGGCGAAGGCGGCUUACUGGACUGUAACUGACGUUGAGGCUCGAAAGCGUGGGGAGCAAACAGGAUUAGAUACCCCUGUAGUC
rnacentral:rRNA from 1 species